rnacentral:rRNA from 1 species
UACGUAGGGUCCGAGCGUUGUCCGGAAUUACUGGGCGUAAAGAGCUCGUAGGUGGUUUGUCGCGUUGUUCGUGAAAACUCACAGCUCAACUGUGGGCGUGCGGGCGAUACGGGCAGACUUGAGUACUGCAGGGGAGACUGGAAUUCCUGGUGUAGCGGUGGAAUGCGCAGAUAUCAGGAGGAACACCGGUGGCGAAGGCGGCUACCUGGACAGAAACUGACGCUGAGGCGCGAAAGCUAGGGGAGCAAACAGG